AGAGUUUGAUCCUGGCUCAGGACGAACGCUGGCGGCGUGCUUAACACAUGCAAGUCGAACGGAUCCAUGAUCUUCGGGUUGUGGGUGAGUGGCGAACGGGUGAGUAACACGUGGGUAACCUGCCCCAGGCUCUGGGAUAACUCCGGGAAACCGGGGCUAAUACCGGAUAUGACCUGUCACCGCAUGGUGGUGGGUGGAAA
rnacentral:rRNA from 1 species